rnacentral:rRNA from 1 species
AUUGAACGCUGGCGGCAGGCCUAACACAUGCAAGUCGAGCGGAUGAAGGGAGCUUGCUCCUGGAUUCAGCGGCGGACGGGCGAGUAAUGCCUAGGAAUCUGCCUGGUAGUGGGGGAUGACGUACGGACAGGGGCGCUAAUACCGCAUACGAUCUGAGUGUGAACGGGGGGGUUCAUCGGACCUAACGGUAUCAGAUGAGCCUAGGUCGGAUUAGCUAGUUGGUGGGGUAAAGGCCUACCAAGGCGACGAUCCGUAACUGGUCUGAGAGGCUGAUCAGUCACACUGGAACUGAGACACGGUCCAGACUCCUACGGGAGGCAGCAGUGGGGAAUAUUGGACAAUGGGCGAAAGCCUGAUCCAGCCAUGCCGCGUGUGUGAAGAAGGUCUUCGGAUUGUAAAGCUCUUUAAGUUGGGAGGAAGGGCAGUAAGUUAAUACCUUGCUGUUUUGACGGUACCAACAGAAUAAGCACCGGCUAACUUCGUG